rnacentral:rRNA from 1 species
CAGCAGCCGCGGUAAUACGAAGGGUGCAAGCGUUAAUCGGAAUUACUGGGCGUAAAGCGUGCGUAGGCGGUUUGUUAAGUCUGCUGUGAAAUCCCCGGGCUCAACCUGGGAAUGGCAGUGGAUACUGGCAAGCUAGAGUGUGUCAGAGGAUGGUGGAAUUCCCGGUGUAGCGGUGAAAUGCGUAGAGAUCGAGAGGAACAUCAGUGGCGAAGGCGGCCAUCUGGGACAACACUGACGCUGAGGCACGAAAGCGUGGGGAGCAAACAGGAUUAGAUACCCCAGUAGUCCCUGUCUCUUAUAA